rnacentral:rRNA from 1 species
AAAGGAAUUGACGGGGGCCCGCACAAGCGGAGGAACAUGUGGUUUAAUUCGAUGAUACGCGAGGAACCUUACCUGGGCUUAAAUGGGAGACGACUUCUGCCGAAAGGUGGAUUUCCUUCGGGACGGCUCUCAAGGUGCUGCAUGGUUGUCGUCAGCUCGUGCCGUGAGGUGUCGGGUUAAGUCCCAUAACGAGCGCAACCCCUAUCGUUAGUUGCCAACGGGUAAUGCCGGGGACUCUAGCGAAACUGCCAGCGUAAGCUGUGAGGAAGGUGGGGAUGACGUCAAAUCAGCACGGCCCUUACGUCCAGGGCUACACACGUGUUACAAUGGCCGGUACAGAGGGCUGCUACUGGGCGACCAGAUGCUAAUCUCUAAAGCCGGUCUUAGUUCGGAUUGAAGUCUGAAACUCGACUUCAUGAAGUUGGAUUCGCUAGUAAUCGCGCAUCAGCCACGGCGCGGUGAAUCCGUUCCCGGGCCUUGUACACACCGCCCGU